rnacentral:siRNA from 1 species
UUGGUGAGAUCUCAAUUUCGG